AGAAUGAACGUCGGCGGCGUGGAUUAGGCAUGCAAGUCGUGCGCGAACUGUAGCAAUACAGGGAGAGCGGCGAAAGGGAGAGUAAAACAUAGGUACCUACCCCCGGGCCUGGGAUAGCGGCGGGAAACUGCCGGUAAUACCAGAUGACGUCUCCGGACCAAAGGUGUGAUUCCACCGUGGGGAGGGGCCUGUGACCUAUUAGCUAGUUGGUAAGGUAACGGCUUACCAAGGCAAAGAUGGGUAUGGGGACGUGAGAGCGUGCCCCCACUCACUGGGACUGAGACACUGCCCAGACCACCGUACGGGUGGCUGCAGUCGAGAAUCUUCGGCAAGUGGGCGAAAGCCUGACCGAGCCGACGCCGCGUGCGGGAUGGAACGGUCCGUUCGGGUUGUAAACCGCGUGGUCGGUAGGGAGGUAAGGUUUGCGAAGAG
rnacentral:rRNA from 1 species